GAUGAACGCUGGCGGCGUGCCUAAUACAUGCAAGUCGAGCGAACAGACGAGGAGCUUGCUCCUCUGACGUUAGCGGCGGACGGGGGAGUAACACGUGGAUAACCUACCUAUAAGACUGGGAUAAAUUCGGGAAACCGGAGCUAAUACCAGAUAAUAUAUUGAAUCGCAUGGUACAAUAGUGAAAGACGGUUUUGCAGUCUCUUAUAGUUGGAUCCGCGCCGCAGUAGCUUUUUGGUAAGGGAACGGCUACGCACGGCAACGAUGCGUAGCCGACCUGAGAGGGUGAUCGGCCACACUGGGACAGACACGGUCCAGACUCCUACGGGAGGCAGCAGUAGGGAAUCUUCCGCAAUGGGCGAAAGCUUGACGGAGCAACGCCGCGUGAGUGAUGAAGGUCUUCGGAUCGUAAAACUCUGUUAUUAGGGAAGAACAAAUGUGUAAGUAACUAUGCACGUCUUGACGGUACCUGAUCAGAAAGCCACGGCUAACUACGUG
rnacentral:rRNA from 1 species